UACGUAGGGGGCAAGCGUUGUCCGGAAUCAUUGGGCGUAAAGCGCGUGUAGGCGGCUGACUAAGUCCGCUCUGAAAGCCCGGGGCUCAACCCCGGGAGGCGGGUGGAUACUGGUCAGCUCGAGUCCGGAAGAGGAGUGUGGAAUUCCUGGUGUAGCGGUGAAAUGCGCAGAUAUCAGGAGGAACACCGGUGGCGAAGGCGGGUCUCUGGGCCGAUACUGACGCUGAGGAGCGAAAGCAUGGGUAGCGAACAGG
rnacentral:rRNA from 1 species